rnacentral:lncRNA from 1 species
GUGAUAUAAAUGAGAGUGUAUGAACCUAGAGAAAUGCAUCAAGUCGGGUACGGGAAUGACUUCUAACUUCAUGAUUUUAAUUUUCCCUUUGAUUAGAAGGAAGAACUAGCGUGCUGAGGCUAUUUUGUAGCCACACUCGCUCGUUUCCCUUACCGAAAGGGGACGCUCAAGCAAAUGUACCUUAUAACUAGCAUGAGGAUGCAAAAAACCUAAAAUGAAGGGGAAAUGAUUGGAGGAGCAUACCAAAUGCUAGAAAACUAAGAAAAAUGUAUGAAAUAUAGUGAGACAUGCAAGUAUGUACUAACGAGAGGGGACGGCCUAUUUGGUCUAGCAUUGGACUAGCCCUUUUCUAAAAUUCUCUCACAAGCAUUGGACUUGCGAGAGCUCGAGGGGACAACCAUGACUAGCAUUGGACUAGCCACGGUUACGUGCAUUUGUCCAUCACAUUCAUCUAUGACUAUAGAAAGCAGGUAGACAUACCAAUCACCUAUAACACGUAGCACAUAACACUUAGCAUGCUCGACUAAAUGCAAGAGCCUAAUAAAGCAAAUUAGCACGUAGCAACAAAAGCAAGCA